GAUGAACGCUGGCGGCGUGCCUAAUACAUGCAAGUCGAGCGAACGGACGAGAAGCUUGCUUCUCUGAUGUUAGCGGCGGACGGGUGAGUAACACGUGGAUAACCUACCUAUAAGACUGGGAUAACUUCGGGAAACCGGAGCUAAUACCGGAUAAUAUUUUGAACCGCAUGGUUCAAAAGUGAAAGACGGUCUUGCUGUCACUUAUAGAUGGAUCCGCGCUGCAUUAGCUAGUUGGUAAGGUAACGGCUUACCAAGGCAACGAUGCAUAGCCGACCUGAGAGGGUGAUCGGCCACACUGGAACUGAGACACGCUCCAGACUCCUACGGGAGGCAGCAGUAGGGAAUCUUCCGCAAUGGGCGAAAGCCUGACGGAACAACGCCGCGUGAGUGAUGAAGGUCUUCGGAUCGUAAAACUCUGUUAUUAGGGACGAACAUAUGUGUAAGUAACUGUGCACAUCUUGACGGUACCUAAUCAGAAAGCCACGGCUAACUACGUG
rnacentral:rRNA from 1 species